rnacentral:rRNA from 1 species
AACGAACGCUGGCGGCAUGCCUAACACAUGCAAGUCGAACGAGACCUUCGGGUCUAGUGGCGCACGGGUGCGUAACGCGUGGGAACCUGCCCUUAGGUUCGGAAUAACUCCCCGAAAGGGGUGCUAAUACCGGAUAAUGUCUUCGGACCAAAGAUUUAUCGCCUUUGGAUGGGCCCGCGUUGGAUUAGCUAGUUGGUAGGGUAAAAGCCUACCAAGGCGACGAUCCAUAGCUGGUCUGAGAGGAUGAUCAGCCACACUGGGACUGAGACACGGCCCAGACUCCUACGGGAGGCAGCAGUGGGGAAUAUUGGACAAUGGGCGAAGGCCUGAUCCAGCAAUGCCGCGUGAGUGAUGAAGGCCUUAGGGUUGUAAAGCUCUUUUACACGGGAUGAUAAUGACAGUACCGGGAGAAUAAGCUCCGGCUAACUCCGUG